rnacentral:lncRNA from 1 species
UUCAUUUUCGAAAUUCUAGAGUGAGAGAGAGUGAAAUAGUAAGUCAUGAUCAGAUCAUAGCUACCCAUAACAGGAUCAAAGUCAGAAUCAAAGAUCAAAGCUAAAAAAAUGGUAAGAACCUUAAAAUUCGAAAUCCUUUGAUCUUGUGUUUUUUUAUGUUAGUUGUUGGUUAAAUAUGUGUUAUAAGGUGUCAAUUAGAGAUCUGGGUUGUUGUAUAGUGAAUCCAUAACAUCAAAUUUCUCGAAAUAAUCAUUUUAAGAAAUCUG